AUACGUAGGGGGCAAGCGUUGUCCGGAAUUACUGGGCGUAAAGCGCACGCAGGCUGCGUUAUAAGUCGGUAGUCAACGGCGGAGGCUCAACCUCUGUAUAUCUAUCGAUACUGUAAAUCUGGAGUAUGUGAGAGGGAAGCGGAAUUCCCGGUAUAGCGGUGACAUGCGUAGAUAUCGGGAGGAACACCAGUGGCGAAGGCGGCUUCCUGGCAAAAUACUGACGCUCAUGUGCGAAAGCUAGGGCAGCGAACGGGAUUAGAUACCCCGGUAGUCCUAGCCGUAAACGAUGGAUACUAGGUGUGGGUGUCGCAGGGCAUCCGUGCCGCAGUUAACGCGUUAAGUAUCCCGCCUGGGGACUACGGUCGCAAGACUGAAACUCAAAGGAAUUGACGGGG
rnacentral:rRNA from 1 species